GAAUGAUGUGGCAUCUCUGGAACAUACCAAGUUCCAAGAAGGAUCUGAGUGUGAGUGUGCCAGUGGGGGGACUUCCCAACUUGGUGAGGGAAUGCCCCCCUCUGACUCUGGCCUUCCCUCAGACCCCUGCUCAGUAUGCGCUGAUGGAGAAAGAUGCCCUCCAAGUGGCCCAGGAGAUGAAGGCUGAGUACUGGGCAGUCUCGUCUCUCACUGGUGAGAAUGUCCGAGAAUUCUUCUUCCGUGUGGCAGCACUGACCUUUGAGGCCAAUGUGCUGGCUGAGCUGGAGAAAUCGGGGGCUCGACGCAUUGGGGAUGUUGUCCGCAUCAACAGUGAUGACAGCAACCUCUACCUAACUGCCAGCAAGAAGAAGCCCACAUGUUGCCCAUGAGGGCUGAGGAGACUGUUCAGAGACUGCCCAGCCCUAGGGCACUGUGCCACCCUCAUUCCUCCAGAACUUGACCCCUGGACAUUUGCACUGACUUUAUCCAGACCAAAGAGCUGCCUCUUGGUGGCAGUAUUCCCACAGAGGGGUAGCUGGGACCAUGCUAGUCACUUCCUGCCCCCAGGCACCUUGCCAAAGACUGGAUGCCCCCUACUCGUCAGGGGACUGUCCAGGGUGCCCAGUGGUAGUGGGGGAGAGUGUCUCUGUUCUUUUGCUCAGCCUGCUGGGCCCUUUGUGUAUGAGGAUGCUUAAUGAAUCCAGCCUCUCACUGUGCCUUAUGCAUUAAAAUUUCUUUGUUACGA
rnacentral:sRNA from 1 species